rnacentral:snRNA from 1 species
AGAUGUGAGGGUGAUCUGCCUUCGACAUCUGUCACCCCAUUGAUUAUUGAUCGCCAGCGUUGAUUUGGCUGAUCUGGCUGGCUAGGCAGGUGUCCUUUUCCUCCCUCACCAUUCCAUGUGCAUCCCUCCCAAAGCGUACUGGGCGAAGAGGACAGCCUUCCCCGAAUAGACACGGACUGAUCUAGGCUGAGGGUAUACAAGUAGCCACAGUUCCCUGCUAGAACCUCUAAACAAGCUCUCAAGAAAUAGAAGAGGACAUGAAAAAUUGGAAGCAUAGCCACUUCUCAUAGCAAGGAUUGACAUUGUCAAAAUGAUAGUACUCCCU